UACGUAGGGUGCGAGCGUUAAUCGGAAUUACUGGGCGUAAAGCGUGCGCAGGCGGUUUUGUAAGCCAGAUGUGAAAUCCCCGGGCUCAACCUGGGAAUGGCAUUUGGGACUGCAAGGCUGGAGUUUGGCAGAGGAGACUGGAAUUCCUGGUGUAGCAGUGAAAUGCGUAGAUAUCAGGAGGAACACCGAUGGCGAAGGCAGCUCGCUGGGACGGUACUGACGCUGAGGCGCGAAAGCGUGGGGAGCGAUCGGAU
rnacentral:rRNA from 1 species